rnacentral:rRNA from 1 species
UUUUGGAAGUUAAAAAUCGUAACAAGGUUUCCGUAGGUGAACCUGCGGAAGGAUCAUUAAUGAAUUCACUCUUGAAGCUUCGUUGCUCGGCCUUUAGGGGCAUUGUGCACGCUUCAUCAGUCCAUUCAACCACCUGUGCACUUUUUGUAGAUCAUUGAAGUCAUCCCUCAGGUCAUUAGUGACUUGGAUGUCAGGAGGUUCUUAUACCUUCUGGCUGACUCUCAGUGAUCUAAUUUACACACCCUAAUUGUAUGUCAAUGAAUGUCGUUUAUCUUUGGGCCAUGUGCCUAUAAACCUAGUACAACUUUCAACAACGGAUCUCUUGGCUCUCGCAUCGAUGAAGAACGCAGCGAAAUGCGAUAAGUAAUGUGAAUUGCAGAAUUCAGUGAAUCAUCGAAUCUUUGAACGCACCUUGCGCCCCUUGGUAUUCCGAGGGGCAUGCCUGUUUGAGUGUCAUUAAAUUCUCAACCUAUAAAGGCUUUUGAAGUCAUUAUGGGCUUGGAUUGUUGGGGGCUGCUGGCUCAUUAGAGUCAGCUCUCCUUAAAUGCAUUAGCAGGACUCUAUUGCCUCUGCGCAUGGUGUGAUAAUUAUCUACACCAGUUGCAUGUAAUACUAUAAUGUGUCCAGCUCUCUAAUCGUCUUCGGACAGUUAUUGACCAUUUGACCUCAAAUCAGGUAGGACUACCCGCUGAACUUAAGCAUAUCAUAAGCCGGGAGGAAAA